GACAGAGGGUGCAAACGUUGUUCGGAAUUACUGGGCGUAAAGCGCGUGUAGGCUGUUCGGAAAGUCGGGUGUGAAAGCCCCGGGCUCAACCCGGGAAGUGCACUCGAAACUCCCGAACUGGAGCCUGGAGAGGAAGGCGGAAUUCUCGGUGUAGAGGUGAAAUUCGUAGAUAUCGAGAGGAACAUCGGUGGCGAAGGCGCCUUCUGGGACAGUGACUGACGCUGAGACGCGAAAGCGUGGGGAGCAAACAGGG
rnacentral:rRNA from 1 species